rnacentral:rRNA from 1 species
UACGAAGGGUGCAAGCGUUACUCGGAAUUACUGGGCGUAAAGGGCGCGUAGGCGGCCCGCUAAGUCGAACGUGAAAUCCCCGAGCUCAACUCGGGAACUGCGUCCGAUACUGGUGGGCUUGAAUCCGGGAGAGGGAUGCGGAAUUCCAGGUGUAGCGGUGAAAUGCGUAGAUAUCUGGAGGAACACCGGUGGCGAAGGCGGCAUCCUGGACCGGCAUUGACGCUGAGGCGCGAAAGCUAGGGGAGCAAACGGG